AGGCCUGUGACGAUAACCUCUUGUUAAAAUACCAUCUUUCGGGACUGAUUUGGCUCAGCCAUGCUGUCACUUCCACGUUUCUGAGGUCU